GAUGAACGCUGGCGGCGUGCCUAACACAUGCAAGUCGAGCGGAAAGACCCGGAGUUUCUGCCUUACACGUUUGCGGCAGGCGGGAGUGUCACACGUGGAUCACCCACCUCUCUUACUGGGAAAACUUCGGGAAUCCGGAGCUUAUACUGGACAAUAGAACCAACCGGAUGUUGCAGUAGGGAUUUCGGGUUUUGAUGUUACUUAUAGAUGGAUCCGCGUCGGAUUGGUUAGUUGGUAGGGUAACGGCUUACCAAGGCAACGAUGCGUAGCCGACCUGAGAGGGUGAUCGGCCACACUGGAGCGGAGACACGGUCCAGACUCCUACGGGAGGCAGCAGUAGGGAAUGUUACGCAAUGGGCGGAAACCUGACGCAGCAAGGCCGCGUGAGUGAUGAAGGCCUUCGGUUCGUAAAGCUCUGUUAUGGGGGAAGAACAACUGUGUAAGUAGAUGAAGGCGUCUUGACGGUACCUGAAGAAGAAGCCACGGCUAACUACGUG
rnacentral:rRNA from 1 species